CCAGUUUCCCAGUUUGGGAAUAAGACAGCUUCAUCGUCGUUCCAAUCAAACCAGGAUUAAUCCAUUUGUGAGAAGCUUGAUUUGGACACAUAAAGUGGUGGGGAAUGACCAGGAAGUUGAAUAAUUCUCAUAGGAGUUGGCAAGAAGAAGUUAUCCCACUUCCAAAUCAGGUGAUUCCAGUUUCCCAGUUUGGGAAUAGCACAGCUUCAUCGUCGUUUCAAUUAAACCGGGAUGAAUCACUGUGUGUGAAGCUUGAUUUGGAUACAUAAAGUGGUGGAGAAUCACCAGGAAGUUGAAUAAAUCUCAUAGGAGUUGGGAUGAAGAAGUUAUCCCACUUUCAAAUCAGGUGAUUCCAGUUUCCCAGUUUGGGAAUAGGACAGCUUCUUCGUCGUUCCAAUCAAACCAGGAUGAAUCACUUUGUCAGAAGCUUGAUUUGGAUACAUAAAGUGGUGGAGA